rnacentral:misc_RNA from 1 species
UAGAGUUUUCUAAACUCCCAACCCUUUGUGAACUUACCUUUGUUGCCUCGGCGGGGCCUACCCGGGAACGACCCCUUUUGGGCGAAGUUACCCUGUAGCCCGCCGGUGGAUUUCAAACUCUUGUUAUUUUAUUGUUAUCUGAACGUCUUAUUUUAAUAAGUCA